rnacentral:rRNA from 1 species
GGGGGGGGGCUAUAAUGCAGUCGAGCGCGGGAAGCGAGUGGAUCCCUUCGGGGUGAAGCUCGUGGAACGAGCGGCGGACGGGUGAGUAACACGUGGGCAACCUGCCUGUAAGAUCGGAAUAACCCCGGGAAACCGGGGCUAAUGCCGGGUAAUACUUUCUUUCGCAUGAAGGAAAGUUGAAAGAUGGCUUCUCGCUAUCACUUACAGAUGGGCCCGCGGCGCAUUAGCUAGUUGGUGAGGUAACGGCUCACCAAGGCGACGAUGCGUAGCCGACCUGAGAGGGUGAUCGGCCACACUGGGACUGAGACACGGCCCAGACUCCUACGGGAGGCAGCAGUAGGGAAUCUUCCGCAAUGGACGAAAGUCUGACGGAGCAACGCCGCGUGAACGAUGAAGGUCUUCGGAUCGUAAAGUUCUGUUGUUAGGGAAGAACAAGUACCGUGCGAAUAGAGCGGUACCUUGACGGUACCUAACGAGGAAGCCCCGGCUAACUACGUGCCAGCAGCCGCGGUAAUACGUAGGGGGCAAGCGUUGUCCGGAAUUAUUGGGCGUAAAGCGCGCGCAGGCGGUUCCUUAAGUCUGAUGUGAAAGCCCACGGCUCAACCGUGGAGGGUCAUUGGAAACUGGGGAACUUGAGGACAGAAGAGGAGAGUGGAAUUCCACGUGUAGCGGUGAAAUGCGUAGAUAUGUGGAGGAACACCAGUGGCGAAGGCGACUCUCUGGUCUGUUUCUGACGCUGAGGUGCGAAAGCGUGGGUAGCAAACAGGAUUAGAUACCCUGGUAGUCCACGCCGUAAACGA